rnacentral:rRNA from 1 species
UGAGGAAUAUUGGUCAAUGGGCGCAAGCCUGAACCAGCCAUGCCGGCGUGCAGGAUGACGGUCCUAUGGAUUGUAAACUGCGUUUUGUACGGGAAGAAACAACAUUACGUGUAAUGUCUUGACGGUACCGUAAGAAUAAGGAUCGGCUAACUCCGUGCCAGCAGCCGCGGUAAUACGGAGGAUCCAAGCGUUAUCCGGAAUCAUUGGGUUUAAAGGGUCCGUAGGCGGUUUAGUAAGUCAGUGGUGAAAGCCCAUCGCUCAACGGUGGAACGGCCAUUGAUACUGCUGAACUUGAAUUACUAGGAAGUAACUAGAAAUAUGUAGUGUAGCGGUGAAAUGCUUAGAGAUUACAUGGAAUACCAAUUGCGAAGGCAGGUUACUACUAGUGGAUUGACGCUGAUGGACGAAAGCGUGGGUAGCGAACAGGAUUAGAUACCCUGGUAGUCCACGCCGUAAACGAUGGAUACUAGCUGUUGGGAGCGAUCUCAGUGG